rnacentral:rRNA from 1 species
AUGUCUUGGAAUGUUAGGGGCCUGAACUCGCCGGCAAAGUGUCCGGCGGUUAGUGAGGUAGUUUUGUCACAUCGUUUAGGCAUUUUGUGCUUGCAGGAAACCAAGAUUGAAUCUUGGACGUCGGCGACUGUCGGAGAUAUUGGUGGCUCGCAGCUGGAGGGAUGCGUGGUGCUACCAGCUGAUGGCUCCAGGGGAGGGGCGGCCAUUUUUUGGGACAAGUUCAGUGUAGAUGUUUAA